rnacentral:lncRNA from 1 species
AAAAGAGUGUAUGAGUAGUCAGCAAUUGCAGCAAAAAUCAUCAACGAGACCAGCCAAAGUAAAAACAAACCCAUCAAUUUAACACAGGAGGUUCAACAAAGAGAAUCAAAAUCGUAAUGUCCAAAACCAGAAGAAAACAAACAGCUAAUCGCAAAUGCACUCUAAACCCUCAAUGAACCACGGAUUAUCCCUUAAUUUUAAAAUACCAGUGAUUAAAAACAAUGGAACAGUGCUAUUUUGGUUAGUUGUGUAUAUCUCUUCAUCUGUUUU